CCUCGGCAGGCUGGCUGGUCCCCAGGCCGGGCUGGGCGGGGCUCUCUUCCAAGGGCUCACCCGCAAGCACCACCAGGAGC
rnacentral:pre_miRNA from 1 species